rnacentral:rRNA from 1 species
UGGCGAACGGGUGAGUAACACGUGGGUGAUCUGCCUUGCACUCUGGGAUAAGCUUGGGAAACUGGGUCUAAUACCGGAUAGGACCAUGCUUUAGUGUGUGUGGUGGAAAGUUUUCGGUGCAAGAUGAGCCCGCGGCCUAUCAGCUUGUUGGUGGGGUAAUGGCCUACCAAGGCGACGACGGGUAGCCGGCCUGAGAGGGUGUACGGCCACAUUGGGACUGAGACACGGCCCAG